CACCGAAGCUGCGGCAGCGACGCUGAUGCGUUGUUGGGUAGGGGAGCGUUCUGUAAGCCUGCGAAGGUGACCUGUGAGGGUUGCUGGAGGUAUCAGAAGUGCGAAUGCUGACAUAAGUAACGAUAAAGCGGGUGAAAAGCCCGCUCGCCGGAAGACCAAGGGUUCCUGUCCAACGUUAAUCGGGGCAGGGUGAGUCGACCCCUAAGGCGAGGCCGAAAGGCGUAGUCGAUGGGAAACGGGUUAAUAUUCCCGUACUUGGUGUUACUGCGAAGGGGGGACGGAGAAGGCUAUGUUGGCCGGGCGACGGUUGUCCCGGUUUAAGCGUGUAGGUGUGUGUUCCAGGUAAAUCCGGUUCACUUUAACACUGAGGCGUGAUGACGAGGCACUACGGUGCUGAAGCAACAAAUGCCCUGCUUCCAGGAAAAGCCUCUAAGCAUCAGGUAACAUCAAAUCGUACCCCAAACCGACACAGGUGGUCAGGUAGAGAAUACCAAGGCGCUUGAGAGAACUCGGGUGAAGGAACUAGGCAAAAUGGUGCCGUAACUUCGGGAGAAGGCACGCUGACACGUAGGUGAAGUGAUUUACUCAUGGAGCUGAAGUCAGUCGAAGAUACCAGCUGGCUGCAACUGUUUAUUAAAAACACAGCACUGUGCAAACACGAAAGUGGACGUAUACGGUGUGACGCCUGCCCGGUGCCGGAAGGUUAAUUGAUGGGGUCAGCGCAAGCGAAGCUCCUGAUCGAAGCCCCGGUAAACGGCGGCCGUAACUAUAACGGUCCUAAGGUAGCGAAAUUCCUUGUCGGGUAAGUUCCGACCUGCACGAAUGGCGUAAUGAUGGCCAGGCUGUCUCCACCCGAGACUCAGUGAAAUUGAACUCGCUGUGAAGAUGCAGUGUACCCGCGGCAAGACGGAAAGACCCCGUGAACCUUUACUAUAGCUUGACACUGAACAUUGAGCCUUGAUGUGUAGGAUAGGUGGGAGGCUUUGAAGUGUGGACGCCAGUCUGCAUGGAGCCGACCUUGAAAUACCACCCUUUAAUGUUUGAUGUUCUAACGUGGACCCGUAAUCCGGGUUGCGGACAGUGUCUGGUGGGUAGUUUGACUGGGGCGGUCUCCUCCUAAAGAGUAACGGAGGAGCACGAAGGUUGGCUAAUCCUGGUCGGACAUCAGGAGGUUAGUGCAAUGGCAUAAGCCAGCUUGACUGCGAGCGUGACGGCGCGAGCAGGUGCGAAAGCAGGUCAUAGUGAUCCGGUGGUUCUGAAUGGAAGGGCCAUCGCUCAACGGAUAAAAGGUACUCCGGGGAUAACAGGCUGAUACCGCCCAAGAGUUCAUAUCGACGGCGGUGUUUGGCACCUCGAUGUCGGCUCAUCACAUCCUGGGGCUGAAGUAGGUCCCAAGGGUAUGGCUGUUCGCCAUUUAAAGUGGUACGCGAGCUGGGUUUAGAACGUCGUGAGACAGUUCGGUCCCUAUCUGCCGUGGGCGCUGGAGAACUGAGGGGGGCUGCUCCUAGUACGAGAGGACCGGAGUGGACGCAUCACUGGUGUUCGGGUUGUCAUGCCAAUGGCACUGCCCGGUAGCUAAAUGCGGAAGAGAUAAGUGCUGAAAGCAUCUAAGCACGAAACUUGCCCCGAGAUGAGUUCUCCCUGAGACUUAGAGUCUCCUGAAGGAACGUUGAAGACGACGACGUUGAUAGGCCGGGUGUGUAAGCGCAGCGAUGCGUUGAGCUAACCGGUACUAAUGAACCGUGAGGCUUAACCUUACAACGCCGAAG
rnacentral:rRNA from 1 species